rnacentral:antisense_RNA from 1 species
AGAAUCUGGCUGCCUUCAGCCAAAUCUUUGACUGAAGCUAUGCAAGCCCCCUGGCCUUCCAAGAAGUAUUCAAUCCAGGUUUAAGUCCUUCAGCAUCUGACAUUCUCCUGGCAACUGUAAUUGAAUCAAUGAUGACUCAUCUGAGAUGAGCAAGUUGGUCCAGUCAGACCAAACAAAAGACAUUCUAUAAUCAGGGGAGAAGUCUUCUCUAUAUCUCUCUUAUAUGAGCAAAUUUAAUGACCUCCACCAUCUCUAAGAACAAGCAGCUAUUUCUGUAGAGAAAGAUCGUCUUUGGAUAACAAUACAUGAUUUUAGGCUCCAAAAGUUAAAACGUGUUUGUAAUGUUGAUAUUAUGCAGAGGUCUUGACAGAACUUGGCAGUCUCUGAGGCUACAGAGAAGUGUGAAAAAGAGCAUAGAGAUUUCAGAAGGAGGCAGAUUCAGUCAGACGUACUGAAUCCCGUUUGAUCUCAACUCAGGCACACUCCAGAUGGACGUACUGAACAGCACACUGGAGUUUUUGUCCAGAAGUUUGACUUUAGAAGAUAAGAAAUAACUGAGCGUACAAGCAGGAGUUAGAGGAAGAGACUCAGUACAGAAGAGACAGGAACAAAAGUUCACCUCCAUUCAAUGGGAAAGGAUACAGAUCAAGAGUUCAGGAAAAGUAGGAGAAAGAAGCUCUAUUCCAGAAGCAGUCUGGAGCACAAAGAAUCCCUAAUCACUGACAUUAAGAAAGAAGAAAAAUAUUCCUAGGACGAUCCUGGAGAGCAAAGGUCAUCAGCAGUCACU